rnacentral:sRNA from 1 species
UUCAUACGAAAAAUCAUGGCGCUGGACGAAAAACAUGUAACUAUGGGGUACGUGUUAAAGGAGAAAAUUAUGCGGAUUCAUCUGAUGAAGCGGAUUUCUACGGUACCUUAACUGAUAUCAUAGAACUCGAGUAUGAGGGCAUCGUCAAUUUGAAAAUCACACUUUUUAAGUGUAAGUGGUAUGACCCUGUGAUUGGUAGAGGCACUCGGCGAAGCCAUGGUGACGUUGUAGACGUUCUAUCAUCUAGGAAAUACAAUAACUACGAGCCAUUUAUUCUAGGUACGUAAUUAAGAAUACAUUAAGUUCUCUGUUAAUUAUU